rnacentral:rRNA from 1 species
AGGCUUAACACGAUGCAAGGUCGAGGGGUAUCACGGCUUUCGGGCGUGAGAGACCGGCGCACGGGUGCGUAACGCGUAUGCAAUCUACCUUUUGCAGAGGAUAGCCCAGAGAAAUUUGGAUUAAUACCUCAUAGUAUAGAACAAUCGCAUGAUUGGAAACUAGUUAAAGUCACAACGGCAAAAGAUGAGCAUGCGUCCCAUUAGUUAGUUGGUAAGGUAACGGCUUACCAAGACUACGAUGGGUAGGGGUCCCUGAGAGGGAGAUCCCCCACACUGGUACUGAGACACGGACCAGACUCCUACGGGAGGCAGCAGUGAGGAAUAUUGGACAAUGGGCGCAAGCCUGAUCCAGCCAUGCCGCGUGCAGGAUGACGGUCCUAUGGAUUGUAAACUGCUUUUGUACAGGAAGAAACACCUCUACGUGUAGAGACUUGACGGUACUGUAAGAAUAAGGAUCGGCUAACUCCGUG